rnacentral:tRNA from 1 species
GGAGAUUUGGCUCAGUGGUAGAGCACUUGCCUAGCAAGCGCAAGGCCCUGGGUUCGGUGCCCCAGCUCCG